GCCUUUUCUUUCUUAGUACUGGAAACAUGUACUCUGGGAAAACUGUGAUCACUAGGAUGAAAAUAUCAAAUAAAAAGUCACUUGAUCCCCAAAUCUCAACUUUAUAAAAAGUUAUUUUCAAAAAUAUCAUGUUGAUGAUGAGCAAAUGAUAAAUGUAAUUUUUAUUUACAGUCUAUUUUAUGUUCUUCUUCUUGACACAAUGUGCCAGCCUAGAAAAACAAUGUCAGAAAAGAAAGACAUGGCCUUCACUGGUUUCAGAGUGUACUCAAGUCACGUUAAAACUCCUUUUAUCUUAAAAUAGAACCAAUUGUGCAAUGUUUUCAUAUCCUAAGACCUCUUAAUAUCUGACAUUUCUAUAGCUGUUGUAUAACUGCCACUAAUUUUGGAAACUUGGUUAAAUCACUUAACUUGUGGGCCUUACA
rnacentral:lncRNA from 1 species